AUUCCUUGCCCUCCACGUUCUGGGAGAUCUUACUACACUCAUAAUUGCUUCAAGGCUAGAACCCCUGUUAACCCUUACACCAGAGGAUGUUCUAGGAUCACUCGUUGCAGGAGAUGAGAUGAGCCUCUAUUUUUUACUCCGUUAUAUGUGUUUUUGGUUAAUGAGGUACGUGCGUAUGUGUUUGUGAGUGAAUUUGUUUGUGGGUUUUUGAUGAUUAGUGAGAGGAUUUGCAGUGCUAUAUUAAUGAUCUAUCGAUGAACAAUUAUACUUCAAUCACAUUGUUC
rnacentral:misc_RNA from 1 species